AGACUAGAUGUUGUUGGAGCGUUUAAAACCUAUAGACCAAGGUAGUUAUGCAAAAAAGGAAAAGCUGUAAAUAGACCAUGGAGGUUGGCCUGCUAUUGUCCAUUUGACUUGAGAUAUUCUGCAAAAAGCUCUAGAAUGCUAUCGGUAGGAAAAGGAAGGAUCAGAUUAUUACAAUCCAUAUUCAAAGAUUGGCCAUUGCUCGAGGUUGCUAUUUCUUUGCAAGAUGCUGCAAUUCUCGUUUCUUUAGGAAGAGAGUCUUCCCUUAAAGGGAAAGAUAAUAAAUGAGGAUGGGCCAUAGAGACAGCUGCUUGAUCGGAGCAAUUACCGUUAUCGGAUGAGUAGGUUCUUUCAACCAAAACGGGGAGCCUAAAGGUAUGGUCACAACUGUAUCUGCAGAAAUUGAUGAGCUAACCUACUUCUCCAUCGGCAAAGUUUCUGUAUGCAUCCCUGAAUCAGAGGUCAAAGGAGCAUGAAAUUGUUUCUUGCACGGAGAUAGGGCUUUCAUCCAUAGGCCAAAAGCAGAUCGCUUAUUAGACCAUUUUGUAGAAUACUGUUGUUUGGAAUUAGGACAAGAAGCACUGAAAUGACCAAUGAUGCCACAGUUGAAGCAUAAAUCAGGCAGACGUUCAUAUUUGAUAGUAACCCAAUGGAUUGAUUCAUCCUAUUUCUUUCAGUGAAAACCAAUAACAAAAGGUUUAUUAAGGGGAAUGUUAACUUGCAUGCGUAGGAUGUCAGAUGGUCCUACCGCAUCUGAAGCUCCUCCUAAAUUUAGGAAACCCCUGUGAAAUUACCAAUGGAUCGUGCAUUUUGAAGAGACCAGACAUUUGGGGGAAGCCCGAUGACAUGGAUCCAAAGAGGAGAAGUUUCGAAAGUAAGCUUGUCAAAAGAAAGAUCUACAGGCCAAUCCCAAACCACUAGAAGAUAAUUAUGAAUAGUUCAUGGUUUGUUAUCGAGCAUAGAGGAGACAUCUUCAUGACAUUGGAAGGUGAAAAUAAAGGUAUUGACCCCUUUUGCUUUAAUAGAGAAGUCAUUAAUACUCUCCCUACUUGAGACGGGAUAGAUUUCAUUGUCGAAAUACUAAAAUUUUUGCUUAUAAACUAGCCUUCUUUGUUGCAAUUCUCUUAAAAGCUCGUCAUUUAUUUCAAGUGUGAGAGUAGAUUCACAACCGUGAAUACGUUCGAGAUAAAAGUUCUUGAACUUCUUUUUCCACGAUGAAAACUAAAAGAAUAUGGUAAAAAAGAAAAUCAAGAUGAUGAGAAAACCAAAAAAGAGAGACACCAAAUAAAAGCAGACCGGAAAAACACAGAAAGGAAUGAAGGAGAUUCCGAUCAUCAGAAAAGAGACCACGUCUCAUAAGAAAGGGCUAGACCCCUCAACAAACAAUUCCAAGGACCAUAAUUAAAAGACGUUGACAUUUUUACCCCCAUAAAAAUUCAUCAUUCCUUCCCUCCUACAAGCUCCCGCGUAGCUGUUAAUAAGAAGCAGCAGCAACGGCAGAAUAGGAGGCCACAGCACCGCUACAGAUCUCUCUAUCCCAACGCUUAGAUUAGGCCACACUUUUCAUAAAAGGCUCCAAUGCUCGAUGGUCUCUCUAACCGCCACCUAAUCUCCUCCACCACUGGUUCUUUCUCUCCAAAUACUUCGAUUCUAAAUGCUCAAUUGAGUCCCUACUUGCCUAGUCUUGAAAACUUGCUAACACCGAUCCCACUCGCUUGAAAUUUCAUCUCUUCGAUAUUUCCUCCUCUAUCUCCUCCCUUGAGCAAACAGAGGUUCAAAGAUCAGUAGAUUUACCUUAUUGAAUCUAGAUUCAAGUGAAGUGCGGUUAAUCGGUUGCGUUAGUGCGAUUUUCCUUGAUUUGAUUAAGAGUGAUGGGUUCAAUUCCGAUGAAGGAAGUUGAAAGUCCCGUAUUCGUGUUGCCUUUAAUCAGAUAAAGUUCCAUUACGUGAAAGUAAGUGAUUUUUAUCUGAAGUUUAGGAGCAGACCAAUAAUUGAGGACAGAGGGAGGGUUGGAUUCUUACAUUACUGUUUGAGGUAUGAUGGGAUUGAGGACGAUAUGCGGGAGGCAGGUUUUGUAUUGGAGCAACGUAGAUGAUUUCAAGUGGUUGAGGGCUAUGUAGUCGACCAUUGCUCUGUUAUGCCAGAAAGUGAGACGGUUGGGGCAAUUGAGCUCAGCGAUUGCGGAAAGAGGAAUGGAGCCUGUUAGGGGUUAGGGAGUGAUGGAAAUUUUGUUCAGAUAUGCAAAUCCUGAGAGCAGGGACAUUCUUUUACAAGCAUCCUACAAAUCUCAGUAAGAUUUAUUUUGAAGAUAGGCAUUUUGUCUGUUCUUGAGCACAGGUAUCUCUUCUGCCUGAUUUCAACUAUUCUGGAGCUUGCUAGGCUGUUGAUUUUAUUUUAUGGAUAAAAUGUGAAAUCUUGGUGGGUAAUCAUUUAUGUAAUAGUGCUGACCAAUUUACCAUUCCAAUAGAUUGGAAUCUUACCAGUUUUAUGAUAAUUAUUCCAAUUAAAAGAAUUGGUUGUCAGAAAGUUGGGUAAUUUUGUUCUUAACUUAGUUCUUUUUUUGAAGGUUUCAACUUAUUGCUAACAUAUAAAUAUGAAAAAUUGCAUAAUUUGGAUUUUGUCAAGUGUUCAGUGAUUGCUCUUCCAAUAUUGUCAAAGUUGGGUUGGCAGUAGGAGCAUUUUUCAGUUAUUCUCACUAGUAACAAGUCUGUUUUUUCUUUAUUUUAUUUUACCUACUUCCUAUUAAAUUUAAAAGUCAUGCCAUGGAAUCUUGCACAGAUUUCCAAGUUGCCAGCCUGACAAUAGUUGUUGACUUGUUUCCUAAAGUCUGAUUAUGUAAAGGGCAUCAUUGACUUGGUUUUCAAUAUUGCAGUUCAGAUUUCUGUUAAUAUAUUCAUGAUUCAUCGAACUUUUGUUGCACAAUACAUCACAAUGAAGUAAAUCUUUUCCAUUUGUCUGUUAUUACACUCAUCAAAUUCCACUACUUUCUAUAAGUGUUUGUUUAGAACUCAGAACUGGAACUUCAAUUCUAUUAAGGGGAGUAUUUCAUAAUUUCACACUCAUAUGGGCAACUCUAAGGAACCUUUAUAUUUAAACAAUUUAGAGAGAUUUAUAUAUACAAAGCUUAAUAUUUUAGUAUGAGAGGAUGAAAAUGUUGAGAUUAAGUUGACAUCUUGGGCAACUUCCAGUAGCAGAAAAGUUUGUGCUCUCAUGCUAGCUCAGCUUUAUCAUUUGAACGUGUUUUCUACUUUUACUUACCAACUCCCAUUAUGUGAUCUACAGUUUGCACACAACAUUGUUUUUCAAGCUUUUGACUAGAUUCUCUUUGAUUAGGACGAGCCAGAAUAUAUAUUAAGAAUAGAUCUUAAUGAUAUAAUUAUUUCCAUCUCCAUCUCCAACCAUAUAACCUGCUUUCUCAGCAUAAUUAUUGAACUUUUGACUUCAUUUUCAUACUCUUGAACCCACAAGGAAAAUCAGCAGGCAUGAAUGCUGUCUCCUUCAGGAAACUCAAUUACAAGCAUACACUGGUUAUAAAGUUUGCCUAAAUGUCUUUGCUGUUCACUUUUGCCCUUAUUCUCUUCUUAUAUCCGAUUGAGCGGUACAGAGAUCAUGAUGAUCACUAAGGUAUGUAUUUGCUACCAUUUUGUUGGUUUUGAUCAUUCAAUAUCUGUAAAUUAUUAUUUUAUAAUGGAAAUGCUUCAAGAUUCGAGACAUUUACACUUUUCUUUCUUUUCCUGGCAACUUUAUUUCCUUCAUGCUUGUUGGUUGUGCAUUUUCUUCAUUGUGAUGAUCAUUUUGAUCUCAAUAAGAUGAUUAGCUUGUUCCCGUGCUUAACAUUAGAUCUAUGCUUGUUUUGGCAAUUAGACUUGUGUUUGUUUCUUCUUAUUGUUGAUGAGUAUUGUACUAAAAACUUUCCAUAAACCUCUUCCCUAUUCUCAAGGGAUUUGGAUGUGGCUUUGGAGAUUACAUAGCCAAAAUCUUCUUUAGCCAAGACGUUUGUGCAGAUUUAGUUUGGCUAAUGUCUUUAAUUUUAGUUUUUGGUUCAUUGUCUUGCAACUUGGGUUUGAAUUAGAAACUUCAUAGAUUUAGAAAGACUCCUGUACCACUUGGCCAAAAUUCGUUGGUUGUGUUAAUGACUAAAUGUUUUGCACUUCAGAUGAGAAGCCAUCGAUGUUUGCACUGAAAAAUUGGGCCCUAGUGUUAAUUAAAUUUCUUCGUGCUAAGCUGGGUUUGGUUAGAUCCCAUUAAGGAUUUUGGCUCACUAAAGUCUUUUUCAUUAUUUCAUAUUAAACUGAAAUGGGUUGGGUUUGGGAUAGUUUCAUUUUAAAUAAUCUUGGUCUGUACUCUUAGUACUAUAUCCAGACAUGUGGAGCCUCUAAUUCUAGUAUUUACAUAUACAAAUUUUGUACUGGUGUCAAAUUGAUUAUGUGAAUAUGUUAGUCUUAGAAGGAUUGGGUGGAUUUGUUUUUUUUGAAUAAACGUGUUUUUUUGGGGAAAUAUGCCACCCAUUUAUUAUAUUAUUAUUAUUUUCAAAUUAACUAAUGCUAUUCAAAGUUUAUCUGUAUAAAAAUAUAAACUUAAUUUUCAGAAAGAUCAAAAAAUUCCAAAAAAGAAAAUGUACUCCAUCUGCUUCAAUUAUUCCCACACUUCCGAUUUGUAAAUGAGAUGGGAAUGAAAAUAAUCUGUUCCAUCCUAUUAUAAUUUCUGAAAAUGAAGAUGCCCUGUGAUUCAACUUCUGAUUAAUUCACUCAAAUUAUCAGUGGUAGUUUUCAACUUAGGUCACAGUUGAGUGCUGUUCUGAUUUGAAGGAAAUUCAAGGGGAAUGCCUUCAUUUAGCCGAAAUUCAAGGGGAUACCUUACCAUCAAGAAUUGAACCCCAUAAUUCGAAUUGGAACUGUACAAGCAAAUCUGGGUAGGGAUUGGAUAUUGGUCAAUGCUGGUGGCGGGCCACUUGUACCCGUUAAUGGGCUAGGAAUCAACAUUCAAUUGGGCCCUACAAGGGAAAAAAAAAAUCCAGACAAUAUAUGUAUAUUAUAUGUAUCCCA